rnacentral:rRNA from 1 species
AUGGGCUCCUGUCACGUCACUUUUUCAAUUAAUUCGCUCAGGGAUUGUCACGGCGCGAACAAGCCUUAUCCUCGGCAGCUUCGUUUCUAUCCAACGAAAAUCUCACCCGCUCCCCUUCUCCCCACCACCAGCGCGCCAUCAAAGGAACUCGCCGCGCCAUUCCUCCACCUCCCCUCAACUCUGGAUACUGUUGCUCAUCAAUUCUGGACUCCACAUGAAGAGAAAAGGGACAAGGCCAAGGGUAAUGUACCUAUGGCUCCUUCCCGAAAGGCAAGGCCAAUGGCGGAACUCCUUGGUCGCAUUGCUAGCUUCCUUGUUCAGUCCCAGAAGGCCAUCAUCACUGUCUGCACUGUCAAUGCAAUAAAUGUUGCUAUCAUGGAGUCAUGUCAUACAACGAGGGUCAACCAGCAUAAGGCUCGUCUUCGUGCCUGA